AAAAGGCGCAAACGGUCCUGGGCAAGGUAAGGCGACACUCAUGGGAAUACCGUGCGUGAGGCCACAAAAUGAUAUGAGGUGUUACAUGCUAGAUCGGUGUGGCUUUGAGUCGGGGUCCUGACAAAUAUAGUGUACAAAUACAGAUUGACAACUACAAAAUUCAGAUCACCAUAACCGAUUACAAUUACAUAUCACAAUCAGACUAGACAGUUAGGUACAUAAAAUCUGUGUUGUUCCCUAUCUUAAGUGUAGUAUCAUCUGUUCCAUCCCAAGUGGAGUUACCCUUCUAAACUAAACUCAAGUGUAAUAUCUUUUGUUCUAGCUCAAUUACCUGCAAAAGCAUAGCAAUAAACGAAUUAUGAGAACUAUUAGCAUGAGGAAUAAAUUAUGGGAAAUAUUCAUCCAAACAUUUAGACAGGAACAAGGAACAAUAUACAACAUCACAUUUUUCAGUCAACAUGCCCAUUUUAGCAGCAAGCAAACAAGAAUUUUGGCAUGCAAAAAGAACACAUAUGCACGUCUUAGUAUCACAUAGAAAGAAACCAAAUAUGUUAUUAGCAGUGAGAUGGUUGCUCGAAUAUCUAUCCUAGCAGAUUGGAGCAUAAGUCAAUUGAAAUAUGUGGCUAGAACAAAUCUUUUGUGGGACAUUUGAAAGAAAUGUCCUAUUGAAACAAAGAACAUGAAAUGAUUAAACAUGUAGGAGUACAUUUCAGUCAACAUGUCUGUUUAUAUAUAUAUAUAUAUAUAUAUAUAUAUAUAUAUAUAUAUAUAUAUAUAAUAUUUUACUUAAACACUACAUAAAGUGAUUAAAGAUAUACUUUGAACCAUAAUCCAGUGCAAUAGUAUUCGCUACAAAAUGUUUUCCUUAAAAUGCCAACAACUAAAUGAACACACAGGUAAAAAGUAGUAUCAGGAGCAACUCUACUGACGAUGUAGUGAAAGGAAAAGACUUGGUUCAAAUAAACACAAAUAAUGGUCUAAAUGAUUUUGGUUCCCAGGUAAGUCAACUACCUCAUGGGCAGAGCCUAUUUACUUUUGGCUAAAAGUUGUUGAUUGGUUGCUUAAAUGAAUGUAACUCGAUCAUGUGCAUGGUAUGGGAAUUCCCAUGGGAAAUCUUGUGUUGUACAAUGCCCUUCAUCGUGCGAGUACAUCUGCUGUAAAUUAAAGUCCACCUCUAAGACUAAGAGGUGUCGCACACAUUCAGAAUCUCAAACUGAAUUUUGCACUAUGAGGUUGAUACUCUAUCAUUGUUUGUAGCUCUGAUAGAGAUGUGUUGCCAGUUGUGUAUGGAGUCACUGUAUAAAUAACACUCAUUACUUUUUAGACAAAUAAUUUAGUUUAUUCAUAGUUGGUGGCCUGGAUCGGAUUUAAUGCUUUCCUGUCCAGCUCACCGCAGACCAGAGCGCAGCCCCAAAUUUGCUUCCUCUAGCAAGUUUGUUAUUAAAAAGUACAUGCAACUUUAGUACAUGCCCAGGUUACACAUAAUAUUUUUGAUUUGUAAAAAAGGGCAAAUAUCCAAGCAAUAUCGAACAAUGUUGGACUAAGGAGUACAUGUUAAUAGAUGUGAAUCAUUUUGUUACAAGAACCUGACUACUGGUUCCUUUUAUUUUGUUACUUAAUUAGCUUGAUCAGCGGACAGAACACCUUCUUUUGUUACUUAAUUAGCUUGAUCAGCGGACAGAACACCUUCUUAUGAUUUCAUGAUCGUAGAAGCUUAAUACUUUAGCUAUCUAGAAAAAACACUAAAACUACUUGCGAAUCCAGUGUAUCUAUAUCAAGAUAUAGGUUAAUAGAUGUGAAAAUAAUAGAACCUGACUAUUGGUCCCUUGAUUAUUGUUACUUAAUUAGGUUGAGCAGCUGCAGGACACCUUUUGUUUCAUGAUUGCGGAAGCUUAAGUACUUGGUCUAUCUUCUAGAAAAAAACACUAAAACUACUUGCGAAUCCACUGCAUCUCUAUCAAGAUAAAUCAUUACUGCAUAUAUAUUAUGGGUCAGAUUUCAUGGGCUUCUAUCUACUGGCCAGUUCAGAAACGAAUUGUUCCAUAAAACAAAGUAGAAAUUGACACAUGAAACAUUUGAUGCUAAGCCAUCUUGGUGCAUAACACAAAACCAGGGGCUUCUUCUGGCCAAUACAUAGUUGGGUCAGAUUUCAGGGGCUUCUAUCUACUGGCCAAUUCAGAAACAAUGAACUGAACAAGAGCAAUCCGAAGUGGCAGCAAUCAGAAACGUAAACUGAAUCACAGGCUUCUAUCAACUGAUUAUGUUUAGGGGAUGCAUACCUCUGCUGAUGCACGUUCAGACGUCGGAUGUUGUUCCUCCGACGAACUCAGCGGAGGCGACAUUGUACGGCUUGACGGAUAUUCUUCUUCAGCCGGCGAACUCAGCAGAGCUCGAUGUUGAUUCUGUUCAAGGGAUGUAACCUGAUAGAGAUUCCGGUCGAGGCUCCUUCCUUCUUAUGGCAACCAAGUCUCUCCAUGGCUUUGUGUUGGAGAAGAACACGGAAUCUAACUUUGAUCCAAAUCCAACUUCGAUCCAAAUCAGAGAGCGUAGGUUGGGGAUUGAGGAGGCUACGGGUGGCGCCGGAGAAGAUUAAGGCCGGAUAGGGAGGGGAAGGAGAAAAGGGCGGCGGAUGGUGGCCGAAGAAGAAGACACUCCGCCGACGAUGGCGGCGCCAUUACGGAUCGAGGCGAGCACGCAUUAGAGAAGGAGCCCGUGCGUUUUCCCAAUUUGCCACUUUUAAAAUGGCAGCCGUCCUUGGUCCUGGGCAGUGGAUAGGCGACAACGUCCAUCUCGCCAACCUCAACCACCUUCGUCAUGACCACCGCGCCCAUGAUGACGAGCACAAGGCUGACCUUGACGCGGAUGCGGGAGCACUGCUACCACCGCGUGUUCCCAUCGCGGAUCUGAGAAGGCUGCAUAGGGGGAGAGGGUGGGGGCGGCGAAAGAGCGAUAGCGGGUGGGAGACGGAGGUGGAGUGGAAGAUGGUUGGGACAGCAGCGCAGUAGAUCGUGGGGAUGGCAACCCCGCAUGGAUGGAGUAGAGAGGGAGAGGAGGCGGCGGCUGUGGCUGGAGGUGGACUAGGGUUGGAUCUGAAUCGGGAGCAGAGAGGGAGAGGAAUCGGCAGCUGUGGGUGGAGAGGGAUUAGGGUUUCCGUGGUUGGGGAGAGGCGCGAGGCCGUGGCCUCUUGUACUGUGGGCCGUCGAGUUAAA
rnacentral:lncRNA from 1 species